UACAGAGGGUGCAAACGUUGCUUGGAAUCAUUGGGCGUAAAGCGCACGUAGGCGGCCUAGCAAGUAGGGAGUGAAAGCCCUCGGCUUAACCGAGGAAGUGCUUUCUAAACUACUAGGCUUGAAUACUGGAGAGGGUCGCGGAAUUCCCGGUGUAGAGGUGAAAUUCGUAGAUAUUCGGAAGAACACCAGUGGCGAAGGCGGCUCACUGGACUGGUAUUGACGCUGAGGUGCGAAAGCGUGGGGAGCAAACAGG
rnacentral:rRNA from 1 species